GACGAACGCUGGCGGCGUGCUUAACACAUGCAAGUCGAACGGAAAGGCCCUGCUUUUGUGGGGUGCUCGAGUGGCGAACGGGUGAGUAACACGUGAGUAACCUGCCCUUGACUUUGGGAUAACUUCAGGAAACUGGGGCUAAUACCGGAUAGGAGCUCCUGCUGCAUGUUGGGGGUUGGAAAGUUUCGGCGGUUGGGGAUGGACUCGCGGCUUAUCAGCUUGUUGGUGGGGUAGCGGCUUACCAAGGCUUUGACGGGUAGCCGGCCUGAGAGGGUGACCGGCCACAUUGGGACUGAGAUACGGCCCAGACUCCUACGGGAGGCAGCAGUGGGGAAUAUUGCACAAUGGGCGGAAGCCUGAUGCAGCAACGCCGCGUGCGGGAUGACGGCCUUCGGGUUGUAAACCGCUUUCGCCUGUGACGAAGCGUGAGUGACGGUAAUGGGUAAAGAAGCACCGGCUAACUACGUG
rnacentral:rRNA from 1 species